AUUCCAAUCAUUGAACCAAAGCUAUACCAUAUAGAAUCCAUUAAGCUCUCACAAGAAUUGUAGUAUAUGUAUGAUGAGAUAAACACUCGAUUCCAUCAGCUUAUUGCUUCUUUUACUUCUAGCCUUGUUACUUCCCAAACAUGGUUGAAACUGAAAGCAAUACUCAGCCUCAUGUUGUUUGUGUUCCAUAUCCAUCACAAGGCCAUAUUAGCCCUAUGAUGCAACUAGCCAAGCUUCUAAACUCAAGAGGCUUCCACAUAACCUUUGUCAACACUGAGUUUAACCACAGGCGCUUAGUCAGGUCCAGAGGGCACACAUCAUCCCUUAGCCACCUGCCGGAUUUUCGGUUUGAAACCAUACCAGAUGGACUGCCACCAAGUGACAAAGAUGCAACACAAGAUGUUCCAGCACUGAGUGAUUCCACCAGAAAUAACUGUCUUGCUCCAUUCAAAGAGCUACUGAUCAAGCUUAACAAGUUGUCUGAAGUGCCCCCGGUUAGCUGCGUAAUCUCAGAUGGGGUUAUGGGUUUUGGGAGGGAGGCUGCUGUGGAAUUGGGUAUUCCAGAGGUUCAGUUUUGGACUGCCUCUGCUUGUGGCUUCAUGGGUUACUUGCAGUAUGGUGAACUUCUUAGAAGAGGCAUGGCUCCAUUCAAAGAUGAAGAAUUUAAGAGUGAUGAUCCACUACUUGAUACAACAAUUGAUUGGAUCCCGGGCUUGAAAAAUGUCAGGCUCAAAGACAUUCCUUACCAUCCUAACAAAAUAAUGUUCGAUUUCAUGGGAUCAGAAGCACAAAAUUGCUUGAAAUCUUCUGCAAUCAUCUUCAACACCUUCGACGAAUUCGAACAUGAAGUGUUAGAAGCAAUCUCAUUGACUUUCCCCAACAUUUACACAAUAGGUCCACUUCCUUUGCUAUGCAGACAUAUACCAACUGAAACCCCAAUCAAGUCACUCAACCCAAGCUUAUGGAAAGAAGACUCGAAAUUACUUGAAUGGCUUGAUAGGUUGGGAGCCAAACUCAGUUGUGUAUGUGAACUAUGGCAGUGUGACUGUGAUGACAGACCAACAUUUAAAAGAAUUUGCAUGGGGCUUAGCAAAUAACAAGCACCUAUUUUUGUGGGUAGUGAGACCUGAUGUGGUAAAGAGCGACUCUAUAAUGCUACCAGAUGAGUUUCUUAAGGAGGUCAAGGACAGGGGAUAUAUAGCAAGCUGGGCACCACAAGAACAAGUGUUGGGGCAUAAAUCUGUUGCGGUUUUUCUGACUCAUUGUGGUUGGAAUUCUAUGUUGGAAACUGUAAGUGAAGGUGUUCCUAUGAUAUGCUGGCCUUUCUUUGCUGAUCAACAAACCAAUUGUGGGUUUGCUUGUGGAAGUUGGGGCAUUGGAUUGGAGGUCAAGCAUGAUGUGAAGAGAUGUGAUAUUGAAGGGGUUAUUAAGGACAUGAUGGAAGGGGAGAAGGGGAAAGAGUUGAGGCAGAAUGCAUUGGAAUGGAGGAAGAAGGCAAUUGAAGCUACUGAUAUUGGUGGAGCAUCUUAUGGAAAUUUUGAUAGAAUGAUGCAGCGUCUUCUUGGGAAUUAUAGACAAAACCUAUGGUAA